GGGCCGCUAGCUCAAUGGCAGAGCAGCUGACUCUUAAUCAGCGGGUUCGGGGUUCAAGUCCCCGGCGGCUCACCA
rnacentral:tRNA from 1 species